UUCAGGACAGAUCUUCACCAUCACUGACCUCAGACCUGAACACAGUGGGAAUUAUUACUGUGAAGCCCAGAACACAAGAGGACGUCGUAAACUCCACCUUAAAUCUGACUGUUGUAGCAGGUGCAUGGAAAUCAGCAGCUGCUGGAUCAAUCACUGCUGUUCUCCUGGCUCUCAUCCUCCUCGCUGUCUUCCUGUGGAUCAAAAGAGAUAAC